AUUGAACGCUGGCGGCAGGCCUAACACAUGCGAGUCGAACGGUAACAGGAAGAAGCUUGCUUCUUUGCUGACGAGUGGCGGACGGGUGAGUAAUGUCUGGGAAACUGCCUGAUGGAGGGGGAUAACUACUGGAAACGGUAGCUAAUACCGCAUAACGUCGCAAGACCAAAGAGGGGGACCUUCGGGCCUCUUGCCAUCGGAUGUGCCCAGAUGGGAUUAGCUAGUAGGUGGGGUAACGGCUCACCUAGGCGACGAUCCCUAGCUGGUCUGAGAGGAUGACCAGCCACACUGGAACUGAGACAUGGUCCAGACUCCUACGGGAGGCAGCAGUGGGGAAUAUUGCACAAUGGGCGCAAGCCUGAUGCAGCCAUGCCGCGUGUAUGAAGAAGGCCUUCGGGUUGUAAAGUACUUUCAGCGGGGAGGAAGGGAGUAAAGUUAAUACCUUUGCUCAUUGACGUUACCCGCAGAAGAAGCACCGGCUAACUCCGUG
rnacentral:rRNA from 1 species